ensembl:misc_RNA Metazoa_SRP Metazoan signal recognition particle RNA
GCUGGGCGUGGUGGCGGACGCCUGUAGUCCCAGCUACUAGGGAGGCUGAGGCAGGAGAAUUGCUUGAACCCAGGAGGCAGAGGUUGCAGUGAGCCGAGAUCGUGCCACUGCACUCCAGCCUGGGUAACAAGAGUGAAACUCUGUCUCUC